GUUAACGAAACUCGGUGGCAUUCAUCCGACCAGUGCUGCUGUCGGCUGCUCGGCUGUACCGCCCUUUACUGGGUGGCGGUCGUGUGGCUCGAUUGGCGGCGUUCGGUUGGUGCUUUUGCCAUCGGUAUGCGCUGAGAGGCUCGCCGCGGUGUGCUGAAGCCAUGCAAAGAGGACCGUGCCUUCACCGGUGUGGAAACCUUUGCUGGUCCAGGCGUAUCCGCCGUGAACCGUGAAUUCGCUAGUGCUACGCAUGCCAGUAGGUGCGACGGUCGUCACGUGGUCGACGCCGCUGUUGAGCGGUCGCUUGCGACUUGCUUACAGCCGGUGUUGGCUCGUUCGACGAUGCGGUCGCGUCUAGCGUAGCGUCUCGGUGUGAAAGUUGACCACCUAUCCGACCCGUCUUGAAACACGGACCAAGGAGUUUAGCAUAUGCGCGAGUCAUUGGGUGGUAAACCUAAAGGCGUAAUGAAAGUGAAGAUCGCUUUACUGCGGUUUAUAUGGGAUCUGUAGAGUUGCGUGCUCCUGCAGCGCACCAUAGCCCCGUCCUACUUGCUCGCAACAGGGCGGAGGUAGAGCGCAUACGCUGAGACCCGAAAGAUGGUGAACUAUGCCUGAGCAGGAUGAAGCCAGAGGAAACU
rnacentral:rRNA from 1 species